rfam:Agreia bicolorata strain VKM Ac-1804 NODE_8, whole genome shotgun sequence.
UUCUGAUCGUUCCGCGUGACUCCCAGCCGUUCCUCGCCCUGACACACUUCCCCGGUGCCAGGUCGGAAUGGAUGGGGAUCAGGCAGAACGAACAGGUCGAU